GCCCAUUACCCCAGGACCUGAGUCCUCGGAAGACAGUUUUGCCAAAUGGGCCUUGGAACAGAGCAAAAGCUCCUUCUUCUAAACUUCCUCAUGCAUCCCCAGCCUCCUUAUUUCAUUUGGUACCUUUAGAACGAAUGGCUUAGACUUUCACAAGGAUACACCAUGACCUUUCUUCCUUCCUCUGGCCAACCAGAAUUUCUGCACUGCAAGUUUGUAAGGGUGGAUGCAGAGCAAGCCCAGCGUGGUUCUUCAGGGCACCUGCCAUCAGCACCACAGCAGUAGGUGCUUAGUUUCUGUUUACACUUCCUUUAUUUAGUCUCUUAGAAUCGCUUAAUAGCAACGUAACACAAAGGCCAAACGGUGCCCUUAGAAACUUGUAAACACAGUGAAGGCCUGGGCAUUGCUGCAGUUGAAGGAUCCCUCAGGACAAGGAAGAGAAGUUACCUGGAAGAGAAGGUACCUGGAAAGGGAACGGCACAGGUGGACGGUCAGUUUCAGCAAAAUAAGUUGUGGCUUUUCAGGCAGUGUGUCAGCAGAGUGUGUAGACUCUGGCCCUUGGAUGAGCUUAUUUCAGGUUAAAUUACUUAAUCACAAAAUAAUUUUAACAAUUAUCAAGCAGUAAAAAGAUCAGCAACAACUAUCAUUGUUAGAACAUUUUACAAGUAAUGCCAUAUUCCAAUUGUUUAUAUUUCCUGAUAAUAUCUGAAUUAAUACCACGAUGUUAUAUAUAUAAUAACUAUACUCGAAUAAUGAAAAUACUUUCAGAUAUAAAUGAAAACAAUCUUUGUUUUUCUUUGAGAAAGUAUUUCGUAUAUUUAUGAGCUGGUUUUGUGGUCAGUGCAGUGGGGCCAACGGCAUCACAGGCCCCCCGCCCACCUCCAUCCUCAUCAGAGGAAGAUUAAAGCAGGUCACUUUUUUUUUGUCUUUUUUUUUUUUUUUUUUUUUUUUUUCCUCUUUUUAGGGCCACACCUGUAGCAUAUGGAAGUUCCCAGGCUAGGGAUCGAAUCAGAGCUGUAGCUGCUGGCCUUUGCCACAGCCAUAGCAGUGCUGGAUUCUUAACCCACUGAGUGAGGCCAGGGAUCAAACCUGUGUCCUCAUGGUUGCUAGUCAGGUUCACUUCCACCGGGCCACAACAGGAACUCCAAAGCGUGUCCUUUGGAGCAUCUCCGCUGGACUGCUGCCUGUGCCCGCCUUCCUUCCUAAGAGCUGCCAUUGUUCAGUCGGCUACUCUCCCCGUCUGAGCUGUGGUUUUGUGACCUAGGCUGGCCCAGGAGAGCUGCAGUGGCCACGCGGUAGAAAGGGUCAUCCCUGAGCGCCUUCCAUCACCCCAGACCCUACCCUCCACCCCUUGUUCCAAAGUGAAAGGGAAAAGUUAAGAGAUUAGACGCCAACAAGUUAUUUACAAAGGGCUCCAACCAGCAACGCAAGAAGCACAAAACCUCACAGGACCAGGAAAGUGCUGAGGGGGUGGAAGUAAUGGAGAAGGAGGGUCCUCGGGUCUGAGGGCUGGGGGAACAGUGCCGAGUCCCAUGACGGAAGCUCUGAGGCUCAGGUGGGGGACAGCAGAGAGCUGCCCGGUCCCCUGCAAGCCCCGGUGUUCCCUGAUUUUCUUACAGUUGAUCUGAAUACUUAAAUCCCUGUAGCUCAAAAGACAGUCUGACUUCUGCUUUCCCAAAGACACAUCUUAAAGGGAAACUCAUCGACAUAGGCUAUUAUUUUGUCUCCUUACAUCUACGCGCCUGUUUGACAUAUUUUGUCCAACUUCCCUUUAGUCACAGAAGGUACUGUUGUUAUUCAUCAGUUAAGGUCUUUAGACAAACAGAGAGAUGCCUAUUCUUGUCAAAGUGAGUAGAGAACUUGAUUAUAUUCUGGUAAAAGGGCCAAUUUAAUAUGGGCAUCAGUAUCUAAGCAAUUAUUUUUACAGUCUCAGAUCCAAAUACCUUUCAGGAAACCACAAAAGCCUUUAUUUUUACAGCUUAAUUCAAAGCUUAUCAAGGUCACAGGCAUUUCACUUAUUAUCAGGAGGCUUCCUGAGGAAAAGUGGAGUAAAAAUAUAGGCAUGUAGGUUCCAGAACUUCACUUUUGAACAGGUGGGAUGGAGAAGGAAAACUGUUCCUACUGGUUCGAGGUAAUUGUUUUCAGUGUAAGGCUCUUUGAAUGCAGUAAGCCACGGGAAGCAAAAUGACCUCACUUUGCAGAUUCAGGAAAAAAAAUCACACUGUGUGGGAGAAGAAUCUAUUAUCGAGUCAUGGAUUUGGGAAUGUUUCACACAAAUUCAGGGUCCUCCGAAGCAUUUCUGUAAAAGCUUUAGGAGUACCGCUUGUGGUUGGUGUGACAUAUUUGUGAUGACUGCGUUAGAUCAGGCAUUGCCCACACAUCCAAACUAUUUAUUUUACCAUCUGAGUGUGUGUACUGGGGUGGGUGAGGUGCUGGGAGACUUGUUUCAAGCCUAAUGCCUGGCACACAGCUUAUCUCAUAUAAUUCUGGCUGCACAUAAAUGAAACAGGACAAGUAGACAGAAAUCAAUUUCUUUCUGAUUAAAGCACCUGAAUCCACAGUUCAGGGCCAGUGUGGUGGGUCGACACUGUGAAGCUGAGGAUUCCUCUAUCUCUUCAUUCUAUUGUGACUUGCUACCAUUCCCAAGGUCACCUCGUGAUCCAAGGUGGCUGCUGGAGCUCCAGCCAUUGAACUACAUUCUAGAGCAAAAAGGAGGAAGAAGGAUGGGAAAACGAGCCCCUCCCUAUUCAGGGGUCUUUCUGAAAGAACCGUACAAUACCACUGCUUCCAGCUGAGGGGUUAGAACAGUGACAUGGUUGCAAGUAGCUGUGACAGACACUGGGGAAUGUGCUUGGCUUAAAAAAAGUUAGAAUCCUUUUAUUAAAAAGAGAGAAAAAUGGGAGUUCCCUGGUGGCUCAGUGAGUUAAGGAUCCUGCCUUUGGCUCAGGUUUGAUCCUUGGCCCUG
rnacentral:lncRNA from 1 species